rnacentral:tRNA from 1 species
GGGGUUGUGGCCAGUGGUAGAGCUCAUGCCUGGUGCGUGUGAGGUGCUGGGUUCUAUCCUCAGCACCACA